UGGAAUACAGUCUUACACAUGCGUUU
rnacentral:piRNA from 1 species